rnacentral:lncRNA from 10 species
CCGCUCUCCUGCCUGCAGGGGCUGCCUUCCGGGAUUGCCCGCUCUCCUGCGUGCAGGCCCUGCUGGGAGGCUCAGCUGGCCCCGGGGACCGCCUGCCGGGUCUGCCCGCUGUGCUGCCUGCAUGGACCACCAGCCUGAGCUGCCCGCUCUCCUGCCUGCAGGCCCGGCUGGGAGGCUCAGCUGGCCCCGGGGACCGCCUGCCGUGUCGGCCCGCUAACCUGCCUGCAGGGCCCGCCAGCCUGAGCUGCUCGCUGUCCUGCCUGCAGGGCCCGCCUGCCGGGGCUGCCCGCUGUGCAGCCUGCAAGGCCCACCUGCCGGGGUUGCCCUCUAAGCUGCCUACAGUGCCCGCCUGCCGGUGCUGCCCACUGUACAUCUUUCAGGCCCAGCUGGGAGGCUCAGCUGGCACUGGGGCUUGCAUGCCGGGCCUGUCUGCUGUCCUGCCUUCAGAGCUCGCCAGCCUGGGCUGCCCGCGGUCCUGUCUGCAGGGGCCGCCUGCCGGGAUUGCCCGCUCUCCUGCUGGCAGGCCCGGCUGGGAGGCUCAGCUUGUCCCGGGGACCGCCUGCCGGGUCUGCCCGCUGUCCUGCCUGCAUGGACCACCAGCCUGAGCUGCCCGCUGUCCUGCCUGCAGGGCCUGCAGGCCCGGCUGGGAGGCUCAGCUGGCCCCGGGGACCGCCUGCCGGGUCUGCCCGCUCUCCUGCCUGCAGGGCCCGCCAGCCUGAGCUGCUCGCUGUCCUGCCUGCAGGGCCCGCCUGCCGGGGUUGCCCUCUAAGCUGCCUACAGGGCCGGCCUGCCGGGGCUGCCCGCUGUACGUCCUUCAGGCCCAGCUGGGAGGCUCAGCUGGCACUGGGGCCUGCAUGCCGGGCCUGUCUGCUGUCUGGUCUUCGUUUUUGGUUCUCUUCAUUUGGUUUAUAAAUUUGAGUUAAUAUUUGGAGCCAUUUUCUCAACCCAAUACAGCUUUGCUCCCAUGACCUCCUUCGUACUCUUAUUGAUAUUCCAGCGACAUAUUCUUUCAGUUUUGUUAAUCUGGGUCAACAAGAGGAGCUUAGUACUCCACACAAUGACUUAGGAACCUGUGCUGGUGGUGGCACUGGCAUCUUACAGCUGCUCCAUCUGGAGAAGGUUCCAGGUGAUUCCAGCUCUUCAUAUAGCUGCUGCCUCACAGAAUUAGGAUGAGUAGUGGGAAGAACUGAGUGUGGGAAUGAAGCAGAUGGGACAGAGUCCAAGAACCCAAAAGCAAGGAGGAAGAGACAGUACCGGGGCAUGAAUAGCCUUGGAGGGUUCCUGACGCCAGCCUGCAGUUCCUGGAGCUCCAGCACCUCAUCCACAACAUUUGCGAAUGGACAAGGCAGGAGUGAGGAAGAAAGGUUUCAUCUUCAGAGAAGAGGUAUCAGUAGUGUAGGGGUGAAGGUGAUGGAAGAAACGGUUGUGGAACAAAAGGAAUAGAAAGCUCCCGGCAAGGAUGGAGGCAGCACUGUUUGUUGGACAACUGAAUUGGCCCAGGUGGCCCCUGCACUCUCAGGUACCUGAGACUCCACCCGCCUUGCCUUACUGUCCACAUUUACUCAUGGUGACAACCCCCGCCCCCAAAUUUCAUUUGAAUGACAUGCGCAGGUGCAUUUGCACUGAGAUCUUUAUUCUAGGCCUGGGGCCUUGGAGCAGUGGGCAAUUGCAACACAGGACAGAGAAGAGAGUAUUGUUUGUGUCCCUGUGAUCAGACACAUGCACACACUACACACACACACACACACACACACACACACACACACACAAGGACACGGGCACAGACAUGGGUAGUAAUGAGACCUAUUAAGUAUUUUCCCCUCCAGUAGGCAGAUGUGCAUGAUACAUAAAUUACAAAUAAGAGGAACCUUGUGAACACAUUUCAAAGGCAAGAUGAGUGAAUAUCGGUGACUUGUGGUUUUCAUGUAUUUUAUAAUUCAGUUCUUGGUAUAAAAUAUAUUUUAUAUUCCAACCUCGUAUACACCUAUACACUCUUGAAAAAUCGAAAGAAGAGUUUCACUGAAGAAAACUUAAUUUCACAAGGUGUGAUACUCUCUGAUGUUUUAUUUUACAUCAUAUACUAGUUCAAUUAAAAAAUAAAUUCAUUAAGCUCAUCAGAAUUGACUGUGCCUGCAAUUUCAAAAAUG